CUCCCCGAAAGCUAUUUAGGUAGCGCCUCGUGAAUUCAUCUCCGGGGGUAGAGCACUGUUUCGGCUAGGGGGCCAUCCCGGCUUACCAACCCGAUGCAAACUGCGAAUACCGGAGAAUGUUAUCACGGGAGACACACGGCGGGUGCUAACGUCCGUCGUGAAGAGGGAAACAACCCAGACCGCCAGCUAAGGUCCCAAAGUCAUGGUUAAGUGGGAAACGAUGUGGGAAGGCCCAGACAGCCAGGAUGUUGGCUUAGAAGCAGCCAUCAUUUAAAGAAAGCGUAAUAGCUCACUGGUCGAGUCGGCCUGCGCGGAAGAUGUAACGGGGCUAAACCAUGCACCGAAGCUGCGGCAGCGACGCUUAUGCGUUGUUGGGUAGGGGAGCGUUCUGUAAGCCUGCGAAGGUG
rnacentral:rRNA from 1 species